rnacentral:rRNA from 1 species
UACAGGGGGUGCAAACGUUGCUCGGAAUCAUUGGGCGUAAAGCGUGCGUAGGUGGCGUGUUAAGUGUGAUGUUAAAUCGCGGGGCUCAACCCUGCCGGUGCAUCGCAUACUGGCAUGCUAGAGGGAAGCAGAGGCAAGUGGAAUUUGUAGUGUAGCAGUGAAAUGCGUAGAUAUUACAAGGAACACCAAUGGCGAAGGCAGCUUGCUGGGCUUCUUCUGACACUGAGGUACGAAAGCGUGGGGAGCGAACAGG